GACGAACGCUGGCGGCGUGCUUAACACAUGCAAGUCGAACGAUGAAGCCGGAGCUUGCUCUGGUGAAUUAGUGGCGAACGGGUGAGUAACACGUGUGUAACCUGCCCUUGACUCUGGGAUAACUGCUAGAAAUGGUAGCUAAUACCGGAUACGACCCUCGGAGGCAUCUCCAGGGGGUGGAAAGAAUUUCGGUCAAGGAUGGACUCGCGGCCUAUCAGCUAGUUGGUGAGGUAACGGCGCAGCAAGGCGACGACGGGUAGCCGGCCUGAGAGGGUGACCGGCCACACUGGGACUGAGACACGUCCCAGCCUCGUACGGGAGGCAGGAGUGGGGAAUAUUGCACAAUGGGCGCAAGCCUGAUGCAGCAACGCCGCGUGAGGGAUGACGGCCUUCGGGUUGUAAACCUCUUUUAGUAGGGAAGAAGCGAAAGUGACGGUACCUGCAGAAAAAGCACCGGCUAACUACGUGCCAGCCGCCGCCGUAA
rnacentral:rRNA from 1 species